rfam:Fonticula alba strain ATCC 38817 unplaced genomic scaffold supercont2.4, whole genome shotgun sequence.
GCGGCUGUGGUCAAGUGGUAAGAUGCUUCCCUCCCAAGGAAGAGAUCCAGGGUUCGAACCCCUGCUGUCGCA